rnacentral:misc_RNA from 1 species
UUGGCGCAAUAUAGCCGUAGUUGCUGAUGCGCCAUAAACCCCCAAUCAAUCAAUCAAUCAAUCAAGCGAGCAGGGUGCUGCUCUCCUUGCCUUGGAUUAUCUAGCCAAUUAUGAAGUCACGAUCGCACCUCACCGCUCCCUAAACAUAGUCCACAGAUUUAUUCCCGAGGAUGAGCGUUUCGACUCCACAGAUAACGCAAUAGUUGAAAGUCUUUGUGCGCAAGGGGUCGUAGCCGCAAUGCGCAUCUCCUUGAGUCGUGACGACGUAACGGCCAGGAGCGCACAACUAAGCUUGCACUGUUAACUUUCAAUCCAUCAAACUUUCCGUGGGAGUAAAGACUGGGUACCCGCACUGCAGGGUGCGGCUUUACAUACCUAACCCUCGAAGGUACUUCGACAGCCAUAGGUUUGGACAUGGCUCACAGAAAUUCCGUGGCAAAGCCACGUGUGCCAAGUGUGGCAAGAGUGACAAUCCAGCAUACUCUUGCUUUAAUGAAAUCCACUGUGUCAACUGUAAUGAUCUGCACCCAGAAUGUUCACGAUCCUGUAAAACAUGAAAAAAAAAAGAUUACGUUGAAAGUAAAGAAAAGCUUCCUUUACUUUCAGGAUGAAGGAAGAAAACUACCCUCUCGGUCCACUAUCAUCAAUUGGGCGACAAGGUUUGCUCAAGACGGGAACGUGACAAACAAAUCUCCGAACCGUGUAGAAACGUCGCCGAAACGAAAAGAGCAGCAAGCCGUUUUUGACGCCGCUUUCGAAUUCGAAACGGAGCCCCACAUCUCGACGGGCGUGCUGCUCGUCAUCUCAGCCUUAGCCGGGACUUCGUGUGGCGGGUACUUCGCCGGCGAAUGUACCCGUUUAAAGCGCAGCUCCUACACGAACUGUAACGAAAGGACUACGCACGGGCGCAGGAUGGAUGCGACGGGGAUGCCAGGCGUAAGAUGAAACGUCAAUAUAAACCACAAGGCUUGAAAAACGGAAGCAGCAAUGAGCAUCCCCGAAUGAAAAAAAAAGAAGAGAAAAACAGAUCUCUAACUUGAAUGUAUCCGUAUCGACGUCAUCCUCAUUUUCUGCUUUUUCGUCGACGACCUCAGGGAGCAGGAAAAAUUCAAGGGGAAGUUCCAAGUCGCAGUCCAAGUAUAAACGCUGACUUCACGGGGAACACUUAAUCCAGACUGACGGAUCGCCGAGGAAGUGAAAUAACCUGAACGACUUCCUAAAAUACCAUUACAAAAGGACCUGACCGUACCAGAGCCAGUCUGAUACCGGAGCCCGAAGUUAGCCUAAUAUUCGUCAGACCAGCACCUCCCAGAGCUUGGCACAUAACGUACGCACACCUAUAUUACUUUCCCACAAACCCUCAUUCGCUGAAGGUAAGAACCUUUAAUAAAACAUUGAAAGGCACAAGGAGGUUUCAAGUUUAUUG